ACUACUGCCAACUAAACCCUUCUCAAAACUAAACCCAGAAUACGUUAAACUCUUUCUUCUCUUUCACCCAAAACCUCUCAAUCUCUAAAUCCCUAACCUCUCAAUCUUGAGCAUGUUAAACUCCUUCUCCUCUUUCACCCAAAACCUCUUAAUCUCGAGCCCCAAUCCGUUGCCUUCUCCUUCUCAUCGUCGAUUAAUCCCGAGCCCCAAUCUAUUGCCUUUUCGCCUUCGUUCAAUCUCGAGCUGUGACCACCGUUCUCGCCGUCACUGUGACCGUUCUCGCAUCACAUCCACUGUUCUCGUCGUCGCUGUGACCGUUAUUGCAUCACAUCCACGAUGACAGAGUGACCACCAGCGCCACCGUGACCUGACCCUGUGACCACCGCUCUCGCACCACCUGUAAAUUUUGAAUUUCUGUACUGUUUAUGAAUUUUCGCUCCACCUGAAGCUGUGACCUUAGUUAUAUGUAAUUUCUGUGUUGUUUUGAAUUUUUCGCGAGUUUGAUUGCGAGUUAGGGUUCAUUUUAGGGAUUAAUUUUGAAUUUUCGUGAGUUUGAUUGAGAGUUAGGGUUCAUACUAGAGUUUCUGAGAGUUCCUUUUUUAGCCUGUUAAUUUUUUAGGACUUGCAUUAAGUAAAGUAGAGGGUAAUACAAUUUAGUUACCCUUUUAGAAUGAAGAAUAUGUCAUGAGCAAACUUAAAGGAAACCUGUUUUUUCGUUGAUUUUUUUAGGAAAUGAAUUUUCAUGGAUGUUGCACUACUUUUGAAAUGUACUUGUAGAAUCAAACUUAUUAGUCGGUGGUGAUUAAAAAGUAAACCAUAUUAUGUGAACGUUAUUUUAUGGCUAAGAUGAAUAACUAAUUUCAUGCAUGGGACUUGUUUAAUUUCAUAUAUUUUGUUUGUUGGUCUAUUAGUUUUUCUCAAUAAAAUAGGAAGUUGAUGAGAAGAAAAAGAAACACAAACAAUGUCAAGCGAAGUCAAGUAUUAAUUUUGAGACAGUUCGACCCAUUGGUGAGGAAGGGACAACUCUUACCUGUUUCAUUGGUAGUGUGGCUAGAAGGCAUCAAUAUGCUCCUAUCGACUACAAAUCGUGGAAAGUUAUGCCAAACGAUUACAAAGAAGAAAUGUUGAAAUUAAUAGAGGAUGUGUCCUGUUAGAGGUUUUAUGAACAUGGAGGGGAGAUGCAGGUGGCACAAGAUUCCCCCCUAAAGCCAUCAAUGGAUUUAUUUGCUAUCUCGGGUUUUACUAUGCCAGAGUGCUUUCCAGGAGAUACUUAAGCAAAUGAUGAACAAGCAGUCUUCUGAUGAUGCAGGUGUUACUUCUGGAGAACUUUUGGAAGAGAUCGUUGCCAAAGAAAGCGCAAGUAUCAUGAAGAACUCACGAAGGAAAAGAGAGGACAUAGGCAAAGGCUUAGUUCAUGAUCAAUAUCAACUAAGGGAUGCAAAGGCUGGAAAAGUGAUGCAAAUGCUUAGAACUUGAUCAAUAUCAACUAAGGUGUUGUUUCUUUUGUUAUCUACUGAUUUGAAACGCUGGAAAAGUGAUAUUUUGUUGAUCAAAUAUUUUGUUUAGGAAGAUGAUUAUUGUUAUUUAUGAAAUUAGUUUGUAGUUUAUCACAAUAAAUGUUAAGAAACUCA